rnacentral:rRNA from 1 species
AAAUUGAAGAGUUUGAUCAUGGCUCAGAUUGAACGCUGGCGGCAGGCCUAACACAUGCAAGUCGAACGGUAACAGGAAGCAGCUUGCUGCUUUGCUGACGAGUGGCGGACGGGUGAGUAAUGUCUGGGAAACUGCCUGAUGGAGGGGGAUAACUACUGGAAACGGUGGCUAAUACCGCAUAACGUCGCAAGACCAAAGAGGGGGACCUUCGGGCCUCUUGCCAUCAGAUGUGCCCAGAUGGGAUUAGCUUGUUGGUGAGGUAACGGCUCACCAAGGCGACGAUCCCUAGCUGGUCUGAGAGGAUGACCAGCCACACUGGAACUGAGACACGGUCCAGACUCCUACGGGAGGCAGCAGUGGGGAAUAUUGCACAAUGGGCGCAAGCCUGAUGCAGCCAUGCCGCGUGUAUGAAGAAGGCCUUCGGGUUGUAAAGUACUUUCAGCGGGGAGGAAGGUGUUGUGGUUAAUAACCGCAGCAAUUGACGUUACCCGCAGAAGAAGCACCGGCUAACUCCGUGCCAGCAGCCGCGGUAAUACGGAGGGUGCAAGCGUUAAUCGGAAUUACUGGGCGUAAAGCGCACGCAGGCGGUCUGUCAAGUCGGAUGUGAAAUCCCCGGGCUCAACCUGGGAACUGCAUUCGAAACUGGCAGGCUUGAGUCUUGUAGAGGGGGUAGAAUUCCAGGUGUAGCGGUGAAAUGCGUAGAGAUCUGGAGGAAUACCGGUGGCGAAGGCGGCCCCCUGGACAAAGACUGACGCUCAGGUGCGAAAGCGUGGGGAGCAAACAGGAUUAGAUACCCUGGUAGUCCACGCCGUAAACGAUGUCUACUUGGAGGUUGUGCCCUUGAGGCGUGGCUUCCGGAGCUAACGCGUUAAGUAGACCGCCUGGGGAGUACGGCCGCAAGGUUAAAACUCAAAUGAAUUGACGGGGGCCCGCACAAGCGGUGGAGCAUGUGGUUUAAUUCGAUGCAACGCGAAGAACCUUACCUGGUCUUGACAUCCACAGAACUUUCCAGAGAUGGAUUGGUGCCUUCGGGAACUGUGAGACAGGUGCUGCAUGGCUGUCGUCAGCUCGUGUUGUGAAAUGUUGGGUUAAGUCCCGCAACGAGCGCAACCCUUAUCCUUUGUUGCCAGCGGUCCGGCCGGGAACUCAAAGGAGACUGCCAGUGAUAAACUGGAGGAAGGUGGGGAUGACGUCAAGUCAUCAUGGCCCUUACGACCAGGGCUACACACGUGCUACAAUGGCGCAUACAAAGAGAAGCGACCUCGCGAGAGCAAGCGGACCUCAUAAAGUGCGUCGUAGUCCGGAUUGGAGUCUGCAACUCGACUCCAUGAAGUCGGAAUCGCUAGUAAUCGUGGAUCAGAAUGCCACGGUGAAUACGUUCCCGGGCCUUGUACACACCGCCCGUCACACCAUGGGAGUGGGUUGCAAAAGAAGUAGGUAGCUUAACCUUCGGGAGGGCGCUUACCACUUUGUGAUUCAUGACUGGGGUGAAGUCGUAACAAGGUAACCGUAGGGGAACCUGCGGUUGGAUCACCUCCUUACCUGAAAGAA